rnacentral:tRNA from 1 species
UGGGGUGUAGCUUAGUCGUAGAGCACAUGCUUAGCAAGCCUGAGGCUCUGGAUCAAUCCCUAGCACCACAA